UAGUGAUAAUCUAGCAGAAUAAAAAAGAUAAUCCUCUAAGUACAGUUAUCGUAUGAUACAUUCCUCUAUCGUGAGUCCCAACUUGAUGGAGGUCAUGGAGAACUCGUCAAACCCCAUCAUCAGUCAUAUGCUAGAUUGGUUCGACUCGAGUUCAUCUGUGAAUUCUAUAAAAAUUUUUUUUUAGUAUUCACACUUACUCUAAUCAGAGAUUUUCUGAACUCAGUCUUGCAAAUCGCAUAGGACUUCUUUUUUCUAUCAAGAUUGAUAGAUUUUAUCUAGGUGCAUCCUACUCCAAACAACAAACCUGAACCUACAAUAACCAACACACAC
rnacentral:lncRNA from 1 species